rnacentral:rRNA from 1 species
AUACGUAGGGGGCGAGCGUUGUCCGGAAUUAUUGGGCGUAAAGGGCGCGUAGGCGGUCCGGUAAGUCUGGAGUGAAAGCCCUGUUUUCAAGAUGGGAAGUGCUUUGGAUACUGUCGGGCUUGAGUGUGGGAGAGGUAAGUGGAAUUUCCUGUGUAGCGGUGAAAUGCGUAGAGAUUGGGAGAAACACCAGUGGUGAAGGCGACUUACUGGACUGUAGCUGACGCUGAGGCGCGAAAGUGUGGGGAGCAAACAGGAUUAGAUACCCUGGUAGUCCACACUGUAAACGAUGAAUGCUAGGUGUAGGGGGUAUCGACCCCUUCUGUGCCGCAGUCAACACAAUAAGCUUUCCGCCUGGGGAGUACAGCCGCAAGGUUGAAACUCAAAGGAAUUGACGGGG